rnacentral:lncRNA from 1 species
AGACAGGAAGGCACCGGGCUCUAGCAGUGGGUCCCCAAUUUCGCUUGUGAGCUGCAUUCCACUGGCCACCCUGCCUUUCAUAGAGGUGAGGUAUUAAUAGUAGUUGAGGGAGACUUUAUGAGGGAGAUUGGAUUGGAGCUGAGCUUUGAAAGAUGAAUGAAAUCAUUUGGAGGAUUCAUCCACAAAAAACAGAGACUGGCCAACCCUGGUUUGCAGGGGUCUCACUCUGCCACCCAGGCUGGAGUGCAGUGGUGCAAUCACAGCUCGUUGCAGCUUUGACCUCCCAGGCUCAAGGGAUCCUCCUGCCUCAGCCUCCUGAGUCACUGGGACCACAGGGAAUUUGAAGAAUCUCCAGGAGGGCCAGAGAGGAGACUUGGAUGCCACCCAGCCAGAAAUAGAGAAGUUGGGACCACCCAGCCAGGCACAAGGCCACACCUCAGCCAUCACCACCCACAAGCAACGCAGCAUGUAUGAGUCGGGACAGGACACCAGAAACCACCUCAUGAUUGCUCCGGAAGAAGCAGCUGCAGGGGGCCUGGAUCAUAGUCAAGAUUGCUAGAUACUUGUUACAUGAAUGAAUGAAGUCAUCCAGUACUCAUUGGCUCCACCGGGCUUCGACUUGCUGGACGUGGCAAGCCCACCAGGGAGUCCUGAAUAGCCCUCCUCUUUCCAAACAGCUGGGGAAGCUGGUUGCCCUGGAAACCUACUUUAGGUGGCAGCAUCUUCCUCCAGGAGGUGGAGGUGUCUCCUGGACCUUAGAGACUCCAGGACACAGGACAAAGAGCUCUGAACUGUGGAGCUGGGAAACCUGGUUCCAGCUCAGCCCAGAUUUACCGGCUGUGGACUUGGCCAAGUCGCUCACAAAACCCAAAGGAUGAGGCAGAGCUGGCCCUGCCUGCAUGGCAGGGAGCUUCUGAGAACCAUGAAGAGAGUCAGCAAGUGCCUGGGGAACGAAACCACCGAGCAGUGCAGGGCAUGGCUCUCCCACUUCUCCACUGGGGAAAAAAAUUCCAGACAAAGACAGUACAGAGAAUACUGUAGCCAAUACUGCAGCAGUUACCACCCGGAAAACCAGAUACUAAUACAAUAACUUGUGAUUUUUGCUUCAUAUCUCUGUGGCAUAAAACCAUGACACAUAAAGUUUAUGUCCCCCUUUAACCAUUCCUCAGUGCGAUUCCCCUCCUGUCUCCCUCUCCCCAACGGCAACCACUGAUAUGUUCGCUUUAUUCGAUGCUUUUCAUAUUUUAAAUAUGUUGUUUAUGGGAAUGAUCAUAAAUAAGAAAUACACUGUUUGUUUUAAACAUUUGCAUAAAUAAUAUCAAAGUAAAUUAUUUAAGUUUCCCCAGCAGUCCCUGCCCCCGUCCACCUUUCCCUCAGUUCUCUUCCAUUACAGUAAAGAAAACUGCCCAAACUCAGUCAGCACCCCUGGACUUUCGAAGUGGCUUCCUACUUGGGGCCCUGCUUCCAACAUUGGCCCUAUGAGUGACAAGGAUCUCAUUCUUUCUGUGCUCAAAGCUCUGGCCUCUUUCUCCCUCCCUGGUCUUGCCCAGCCCAGCUCCACCCUCUGUGCUCAGAACCUCACAUCAGUCGUUCCCCACCUGGGGUGCCCUU